CCUACGGGUGGCAGCAGUGAGGAAUAUUGGUCAAUGGACGAGAGUCUGAACCAGCCAAGUAGCGUGAAGGAUGACUGCCCUAUGGGUUGUAAACUUCUUUUAUAUGGGAAUAAAACGUUCCACGUGUGGGAUUUUGUAUGUACCAUAUGAAUAAGGAUCGGCUAACGCCGUGCCAGCAGCCGCGGUAAUACGGAGGAUCCGAGGGUUAUCCGGAUUUAUUGGGUUUAAAGGGAGCGUAGGUGGAUUGUUAAGUCAGUUGUGAAAGUUUGCGGCUCAACCGUAAAAUUGCAGUUGAAACUGGCAGUCUUGAGUACAGUAGAGGUGGGCGGAAUUCGUGGUGUAGCGGUGAAAUGCUUAGAUAUCACGAAGAACUCCGAUUGCGAAGGCAGUUCACUGGACUGCAACUGACACUGAGGCUCGAAAGUGUGGGUAUCAAACAGGAUUAGAUACCCCAGUAGUC
rnacentral:rRNA from 1 species